rnacentral:rRNA from 1 species
GUUGAUCCUGCGGGAGGUUGCUGCUAUUAGGGUUCGACUAAGCCAUGCAAGUUUGCUCGCAAGAGCGGCAAAAUGCUCAGUAACACGUCGAUAACUUGCCUUUAGGUUGGGGAUAACCUCGGGAAACUGAGGGUAAUACCCGAUAGGAGAUUUGGGCAAAUGCUAUUUCUCUAAAAACUUCGGUGCCUAAAGAUAGGUCGGCGGUUGAUUAGGUUGUUGGCGGGGUAAUGGCCCACCAAGCCUUUGAUCAAUAGGGGCCUAGAGAGAGGUACCCCCGAGAAGGACACUGAGAUACUGGUCCUAGCCCCACGGGGUGCAGCAGGCGCGAAACCUUUACAAUGCACGAAAGUGUGAUAAGGGAACCCUAAGUGCUUUACUUAGUAAGGCUUUUGUUAAGAAUAAAUACCUUGACGAAUAAGUGGUGGGCAAGACUGGUGCCAGCAACCGCGGUAAUACCAGCGCCACAAGUGGCAGCCACAAUUAUUGGGCCUAAAGCGUUCGUAGCCGGUCCGAAAAAUCUUUUGUGAAAUUGUUGUGCUUAAAACAACAGCGUGCAGAGGACACUAUCGGGCUUGGAACCGGGAGGAGUCAGAAGUAUUCUUGGGGUAGCGGUAAAAUGUUAUAAUCCCAGGAGGACUACCAGUAACGAAGGUGUCUGACUAGAACGGAUUCGACGGUGAGGAACGAAAGCCAGGGGAGCAAAACGGAUUAGAUACCCGAGUAGUCCUGGCCGUAAACGUUGCGAGCUAGGUGUUACAUAUUCCUCGUGAAUAUGUAGUGUCGAAGCGAAGGCGUUGAGCUCGCCGCCCGGGAAGUAUAGUCGCAAGACCGAAACUUAAAGGAAUUGGCGGGGGAGCACCACAAGGGGUGCGGCGUGCGGUUUAAUCUAAUUCAACGCAGAGAAUCUCACCAGAAGCGACGGUAGAAAGAAGAUCAGUCUAAAGGGCUUAUCUGACGAGCCGAGAGGUAUUGCAUGGCAGUCGUCAGCUCGUGCCGUGAGGUGUCCUCUUAAGUGAGGCAACGAGCGAGACCUGUACUCACAAUUGCUAACGAACUAUGUGAUCGAGGACAUUGUGAGGACUGCUCCGGAAACGGAGAGGAAGGUGCAGGCUACGAUAGGUCUGUAUGCUCCGAAUCUUCUGGGCUACACGCGCGCAACAAUGGUAAGGACAAUGGGCUGCGACUCCGAAAGGAGAAGCUAAUCCUCGAAACCUUAUCCAAGUACAGAUUGAGGGUUGUAACUCACCCUCAUGACGAUGGAAUCCCUAGUAAUCGGGCCUCAUCACAGCCCGGUGAAUAUGUCCCUGCUCCUUGCACACACCGCCCGUCAAACCACUCGAGCAGAUUUUAGAUGAGCAUUUGCCUAUAGCAGAUUCGAAUCUAAGAUCAGUGAGAUGGGUUAAGUCGUCACAAGGUA